rnacentral:rRNA from 1 species
UACGUAGGGUGCGAGCGUUAAUCGGAAUUACUGGGCGUAAAGCGUGCGCAGGCGGUUCGUUGUGUCGGCGGUGAAAGCCCCGGGCUUAACCUGGGAAUGGCCGUUGAAACUGGCGAACUGGAGUGUGGCAGAGGGGGGUGGAAUUCCUGGUGUAGCGGUGAAAUGCGCAGAUAUCAGGAAGAACACCCGUGGCUAAGGCGGCUCUCUAGUACGGUACUGACGCUGAGACGCGAAAGCGUGGGGAGCGAACAGG